rnacentral:rRNA from 1 species
UACGGAGGGUGCGAGCGUUAUCCGGAAUUACUGGGUUUAAAGGGUGCGUAGGCGGCUAUGUAAGCCAGGAGUGAAAGUUUGCGGCUCAACCGUAAAAUUGCUUUUGAUACUGCAUGGCUGGAAUCAGGAUGAGGUCAGCGGAAUGUGGCAUGUAGCGGUGAAAUGCAUAGAUAUGCCAUAGAACACCAAUUGCGAAGGCAGCUGGCUAGACCUGUAUUGACGCUGAGGCACGAAAGCGUGGGGAGCGAACAGG